GGUGGAUGAUGUGGUUUAAUUCGAUGCAACGCGAAAACCUUACCCACCUUUGACAUGGCAGGAAUCCUAAAGAGAUUUGGGAGUGCUCGAAAGAGAACCUGCACACAGGUGCUGCAUGGCUGUCGUCAGCUCGUGUCGUGAGAUGUUGGGCUAAGUCCCGCAACGAGCGCAACCCUUGCCAUUAGUUGCUACGAAAGGGCACUCUAAUGGGACUGCCGGUGACAAACCGGAGGAAGGUGGGGAUGACGUCAAGUCCUCAUGGCCCUUAUAGGUGGGGCUACACACGUCAUACAAUGGCCGGUACAGAGGGUAGCCAACCCGCGAGGGGGGAGCCAAUCCCACAAAGCCGGUCGUAGUCCGGAUCGCAGUCUGCAACUCGACUGCGUGAAGUCGGAAUCGCUAGUAAUCGCGGAUCAGCAUGUCGCGGUGAAUACGUUCCCGGGUCUU
rnacentral:rRNA from 1 species